AACGAACGCUGGCGGCAGGCUUAACACAUGCAAGUCGAACGCCCCGCAAGGGGGGUGGCAGACGGGUGAGUAACGCGUGGGAACAUACCCUUUUCUACGGAAUAGCUCUGGGAAACUGGAAUUAAUACCGGAUACGCCCUACGGGGGCAAGAUUUAUCGGGGAAGGAUUGGCCCGCGUUGGAUUAGCUGGUUGGUGGGGUAAAGGCCUACCAAGGCGACGAUCCAUAGCUGGUCUGAGAGGAUGAUCAGCCACAUUGGGACUGAGACACGGCACAAACUCCUACGGGAGGCAGCAGUGGGGAAUAUUGGACAAUGGGCGCAAGCCUGAUCCAGCCAUGCCGCGUGAGUGAUGAAGGCCUUAGGGUUGUAAAGCUCUUUCACCGAUGAAGAUAAUGACGGUAGUCGGAGAAGAAGCCCCGGCUAACUUCGUG
rnacentral:rRNA from 1 species